rnacentral:lncRNA from 1 species
GGGAGCAGAAGCAGAGGUGACCAGAGUCCUAAAUCAUCAAGACAGGAUGGAGGUGGGUCCAGCCCUAUGGGGCUUAGCAGGUGUUCUCCCCGUGUGUGGAGACGAGAGAUUGUUAUAAAUAAAGACACAAGACAAAGAGAUAAAGAGAAAAGAGCUGGGCCUGGAGGACUACUACCAUCAAGAUGCGGAAGACUGGUAGUGGUCCCGAAUGGAUGGGCUCACUGAUAUUUAUUGCAUACAAGACAAGGGGACAGGGUAAGGAGGGUGAAUCUUCUAAAUGACUGACAAGGUGAAGCAAGUCACGUGAUUACAGGACAGGAGGCCCUUCCCUUUUAGGUAGCCGAAGCAGAGAGAGAAGGCAGCAUACAUCAGCGUUCUCUUCUCUGCACUUAUAAGAAAGACCAAAGACUUUAAGACUUUCACUAUUUCUUCUACCACUAUCUACUGUGAACUUCAAAGAGGGACCAGAAGUACGGGCGGAGCAUGAAAGAGGACAAGGAGGGUGACCACUGAAGCACAGCACCACAGGGAGGGGUUUAGGCCUCCGGAUGACUGCGGGCAGGCCUGGAUAAUAUCCAGCCUUCCACAAGAAGCUGGUGGAGCAGAGUGUUCCCUGACUCCUCCAAGGAAAGGAGACUCCCUUUCGCGGUCUGCUAAGUAACGGGUGCCGUCCCAGACACUGGCGUUACCCCUUGACCAAGGAGCCCUCAAGUGGCCCUUAUGUGGGCGUGACAGAGGGCUCACCUCUUGCCUUCUGGGUCACUUCUCACAAUGUCCCUUCAGCACCUGACCCUAUACCCGCCGGUUAUUCCUAGGUUAUGUUAGUAAUGCAACAAAGAGUAAUAUUAAAAGCUAAUGAUUAAUAAUGUUUAUAAUAAUGAUUGAUAAUUGUCCAUGAUCAUCUCUGCAUCUAAUUUGUAUUAUGACUAUUCUUAUUCUAACUAUUUUAUUUUCUUUAUUAUACUGAAACAGUUUGUGCUUUCAAUCUCUUGCCUUGGCACCUAGGUACUCUUUCACCCACAAUUUCUUUUUCUGUAUUGAGGUAAUCUGAAAAAAAUGAGUGGAAGAGCUAACAAUUUCUACUAAAGAUAAGUAAUAAUGAAGCCCUUAAGAAAUAUUAUAAACCUGUACUAACUAAAAAAUAAAUAAACAUAUCUAAAUAAUGGACACUGCUCCCUCAUGGGCCAAAAGUAUAUAAGAAAUUAACCUGAAAGCAGUGAUAUCAUAAAAUAGUGAGAAAGGAAAAUUCAUUUAAUAAAUAGUAUUGAAAGCAAGAUUUGCUACAUAAAAAACCUCACUUGAUGUAGUCUAAAAUAAAUUUUGAUUAAAGUAACACGUAACUUCCACAUAAGAUUCUAAGACCAGGUAGUUCAACUUAUGAUUAUUAUUUUAAAAUUUGAAAAGUCUGCAAAAAAAGUCUAUUUAGAGUAGCUAAACUAGAGUACCUCUAAUUUUAGAGUUUAAAAAAUAAUAAUUAGGCUGGGCACGGUGGCUCACGCCUGUAAUCCCAGCACUUUGGGAGGCCGAGG